CGGGACCUAUACAUGCAAGUCGAGCGGACCGACGGGAGCUUGCUCCCUUAGGUCAGCGGCGGACGGGUGAGUAACACGUGGGUAACCUGCCUGUAAGACUGGGAUAACUCCGGGAAACCGGGGCUAAUACCGGAUGCUUGAUUGAACCGCAUGGUUCAAUCAUAAAAGGUGGCUUUUAGCUACCACUURCAGAUGGACCCGCGGCGCAUUAGCUAGUUGGUGAGGUAACGGCUCACCAAGGCGACGAUGCGUAGCCGACCUGAGAGGGUGAUCGGCCACACUGGGACUGAGACACGGCCCAGACUCCUACGGGAGGCAGCAGUAGGGAAUCUUCCGCAAUGGACGAAAGUCUGACGGAGCAACGCCGCGUGAGUGAUGAAGGUUUUCGGAUCGUAAAACUCUGUUGUUAGGGAAGAACAAGUACCGUUCGAAUAGGGCGGCACCUUGACGGUACCUAACCAGAAAGCCACGGCUAACUACGUGCCAGCAGCCGCGGUAAUACGUAGGUGGCAAGCGUUGUCCGGAAUUAUUGGGCGUAAAGCGCGCGCAGGCGGUUUCUUAAGUCUGAUGUGAAAGCCCCCGGCUCAACCGGGGAGGGUCAUUGGAAACUGGGGAACUUGAGUGCAGAAGAGGAGAGUGGAAUUCCACGUGUAGCGGUGAAAUGCGUAGAGAUGUGGAGGAACACCAGUGGCGAAGGCGACUCUCUGGUCUGUAACUGACGCUGAGGCGCGAAAGCGUGGGGAGCGAACAGGAUUAGAUACCCUGGUAGUCCACGCCGUAAACGAUGAGUGCUAAGUGUUAGAGGGUUUCCGCCCUUUAGUGCUGCAGCAAACGCAUUAAGCACUCCGCCUGGGGAGUACGGUCGCAAGACUGAAACUCAAAGGAAUUGACGGGGGCCCGCACAAGCGGUGGAGCAUGUGGUUUAAUUCGAAGCAACGCGAGAACCUUACCAGGUCUUGACAUCCUCUGACACCCUAGAGAUAGGGCUUCCCUUCGGGGCAGAGUGACAGUGGUGCAUGUGUCGUCAGCUCGUGUCGUGAGAUGUGGGUAGUCCGCACGAGCGCACCAUGAUCUAGUUGCAGCAUUCAGUUGGGCACUCUAGACUGCAGA
rnacentral:rRNA from 1 species